AAAUUUACAGUUUAAAAUGGACAUUUUAGUAAAUUAAGAGUGAGGUUGUAGCUAGGGUUCUUCUCUCUGUUUAAAAUACAAGAUCGUUUACUUCCAAGCCCCGUCCUCAGCAACUGGUUUCGACACAAUCGUCUUCAGGAGCAGGAAGGAGAGUUGUUUUUCUAGAUCAACAAGGAAAAUGUCGGGGGAAGAACCUGCCGUUGUUGCAGCCGAGUCAGCUGCCGCGAUUCCAGGCGAGCCAAUGGAUAUCAUGACUGCCUUACAACUUGUCCUCAGAAAAUCUCUGGCUUAUGGUGGUCUUGCACGAGGCCUUCAUGAAGCAGCAAAAGUGAUUGAGAAGCAUGCUGCACAGCUCUGUGUUCUAGCAGAAGACUG